AAAAAAAAAAAAGAAAAAAAAAAUAGUGGCAACCCCAGAUGCUGGUGAUGAUGUGAAAAAACUAGAUCACUGAUAUAUUUUUGGUCGGAAUGUAAAAAUGGCACAGCCGCUCUGGAAAACAGUGUGGCAGUUUCUUAAAAAACUAAACAUGCAACUACCAUAUGACUCAAAAAUCAUACUCCUGGGCAUUUAUCCCUGAGAAAUAAAAACCUGUACGUGAAUGUCUAUGGAAGCUUUAUUUCUAACAGCCUCAAAUUGGAAACAGCCUAUAUAUCCUUCAGUGGGUAAACGGGUCAAUACCCUGUGGUACGUCCAUGCCAUGGACUGCUACUCAGCAACUAAAGGGAACAAGCUAUGGAUGCAUACAACCUAGAUGAAUCUCCAGAGAAUUAUGCUGACUGAAAAAAAGCCAAUCCCCAAAGGUUACAUACUAUAUGAUUCCAGUUACACAACAUUUUAAAAAUGACAAAAUUACAGAAAUGGAGAACAGAAUAGUGGUGGUUAGCAGUUAAAGGGAGGGAGGUGACAGAAGUGGGUGUGGCUGUGAAAGGACAACACGAGGGAUCUUUGUGGUGAUGGAUCUUGACUAUAUCAAUGUCAAUAUCCUGGCUAUGAUAUUGUAUUCUAGGUCUGCACGAUGUUACCCCUGGGGAUCCUGGUUGUGAUGGUGUACGACAGUCCUGCCCGAUGCUACCACUGGGGGAACCUGGUCUGAAAAGCAAGGACAUGUGCCUCUUUUAAGGAUUUGUGCCUUUGUUGAUGUUGUUCCUCUAGUUCUUCAAGCUCCUGGGUGAGCCGCUGCCGUUCCUGUGUAAACUGGGCUUGCAGUUGCUGCAAAGACGUCUGAGACUGAGAAAGCUGCAUCUCCAGAUUCUGUUUCAGCAAGGAAAUCUAUGCCACAGAAUGACUAUUGUAACUUGCAACUCAAUAACUCAACCAUAUAUUCUAAAAGAAGUCUAAAGCUAAGAGGACUUAUGGGCACCAGAUAAAAACUUGUGAAAUAUGUUCCAUUAAGCAACUUAAGACACUGUGUCUACAUACAAGUAAAACAGUUUCUAUGACCAAGAAAAUUAAUGAAAGGAGGAAAUUUUAAAAACAAGAUGGCAUAUAGAAGAAAACUUGUGCUAAGCAUGAAAAUCUUGCUUGGAAGGCUAGUGCAAAGACUACAUGUGGAUGCAGUGGAUAGAGCCCUCAGCCUGUUGAACCUGACACAGUGACAAGGUCAAAUGUUGCUUAGGAUGAUGACAGAGCCAAGAGUUGACCCUCAGUGACCAUGAUGUUAUACGAGAGAAUUAAUUAAAUAGCAUCUUCAUUGGUCUUACCACCCCCUUUAACUUUUUUUUAAUAGAUGAAUCAAGGUAUUCCCACUCCAGUUGCUAAUAGAUUUAACUUCAAUAUGAUUGUUUUUAUUUUAAUGAACACCUUCUCAUUUAUAAUUAUUAAGGAAAAAGUGACAAGUAUUUUGGAGUACAAUUACAUUAAUUUUGACAAUAAUUACAUCUUAUGUGGUUUCCUAUUUUUAUCCCAAUUAGCACAUGUGGCAAAAAAGUCUGGAUUGAUAUGGUUAUCAUGGCCAAAUUCUUAUGAUGUUCUAAUAUGUUAAAAUGAAUUUAUAGGCUGUUAAAAAGAAUAUAUAAAUGAUAAGUGUAGCCUAUUUCAACAACAUGGAGAUAAAUGUCCUCGUUGCUUAUUUUUAAAUACAUUAAAUACAAUGCUGCUAAGUAUAAUUGUGUAUUUCUAGUUAUUUUUUAUGUAGAAAGGAAAGCUGAAUUUUAAAGGUAGGUAAAAAAAUUUCUUUUCUUAUGUUAUAGAAAGGAGUUAGGGAGGUAUAAGGAAAUAGUUUCUAGAAGUAUCCAAAUUCCAGAAGACCUCUCUAGACUCAAAGCUUUAAUUCCUCAGGACAGGGAUUGACAAACCACAGCCUGUUGUUGAAAAUUAAGCUUUACUGGAAGACAGCCACACCCGUCCAGUUACAUAUCGUCUGGCUGCUUUCAUACGACAACAGCAAAGUUCAGUAGCUGCUGCAGAGACUGGAGGGUCCACAGAGCCAAAAGUAUUUACUAUUUGGCCCUUUACAGAAAAAGUUUGCUGAUCCUACCCUAGGAUAACAUGAAAAAUAUUAAAAGAUGUUCAACUCUGUUAUCUUAUUUCAAAGAACAACCUGGGCUUAAGUUUGGCACAAAAAAAAAUAUUUUUUUUCUCCUCAUAUAUAAAGAAAAAAACUUAAAUGAGCGUUUAAAUGGAAUAUUAUUUCUAAGCUUAAUCUGUGCAUACUUGAGUGUACAUAAGUAAGAAACAAUUGCUUUUAGGA